UUUGCAAGCCGUCUUAUCGCUGUUUUUAACAGAGGAAAGUCCGGACACCAUAGAGCAAUGCAUCGGGUAACUCCCGACAUCGUUAGAUAGGAAUAGUGCAACAGAAAGUAUGUACAGUUAGGCUGUAGUGGAAUCUUGUAAACUCUGCAUGGUGAAACACCAAGUAUAUCUGUGAAUUAAGGUUGCUCGCCUUAUACAGAAGGGUAG
rnacentral:RNase_P_RNA from 1 species